CUACCAGGGUAUCUAAUCCUGUUUGCUCCCCUAGCUUUCGUUCCUCAGCGUCAGUUGCGAUCCAGUCAGCCGCCUUCGCCACGGGUGUUCCUGCAGAUAUCUACGCAUUUCACCGCUACACCUGCAAUUCCACUGACCUCUCUCGCACUCGAGCGCGGCAGUUUUGAAAGCAGCCUCUGGGUUAAGCCCAGAGAUUUCACUCCCAACUUACCGCACCGCCUACGAACCCUUUACGCCCAGUAAUUCCGAGCAACGCUGGCCCCCUACGUAUUACCGCGGCUGCUGGCAC
rnacentral:rRNA from 1 species